rnacentral:misc_RNA from 1 species
UGAAUAAUUAGCAUUCUUCCCAGUUAAAAUGUCUUCCGAGAUGGAGUGUGAAGAUUAUUCUGAUUCAUUGUCUAGUCUUGAUUUAGAGACGAAUCUACAAACGCCAACCACUGUACAGUGGGAUCCCGUUUCUGUGCCAAGUCCUCCUUCUAAGGAUAACAUUGAUGAAAUUGUUCGAGAUUUAUUGUGCGAUGAUGAUGAUGAUGUGUUUGUACCAGUGAAGGUGUCAAAGAAUAUAAAGAGCGUUUUACAUCAAAAAGCACAGCAAGUUAGAACACAAAGAAAGGAGGAUGUUGAUAUAAUAACUACCAGCCCUAUAUGUAAUACGCCUACUGUCUCUGAUGUAUCGAGUAUCAGUGAGCACUCUCAACUCUAUACUUAUGACUAUGAUAAUGAUGACGAUGCUGAUAGAUAUCAUGGUAUUUAUAAAAUCUUUAAAUUUCCUCAAAGGAUCAAGCGAACUUUCAAGAAAUGUAAAUGUACCUGUGGCUAUUCUGUUGAUCCCAAUGGCUCGGUAUAUCUCUGGUGGCUUGCUUUCAUGUUUCUCAUUUAUUCGUAUAAUUUAAUGAGCAUCUCACUAAGAUCAUCAUUCCCUUUUGUCCAGGGUACCAAUUUCACUUCGAUAGGCUCUUUAAAAGGUCCGCCUGAAAUCAGCAACUUAGGAUUACUACUGAUGUGGAUGGUACUGGACGUUAUUAUGGACGCUAUGUAUGUCGUGGAUAUUGUUUUUAUUUCGUCUCAUCUUGUUGCAGCUAGUGAAAGUAUUGAAGCAAAAGAUGUUAAAAUUAACGUUAAAGAUUUGUGGCAUCAUUAUGUAUCCAAGUGGCACUUUUGGGUCGAUGUGUUGUCAUUGCUCCCUCUUGAGAUAUUAUACAUUGUUCCUCUCCUACGCUUCAAUGUAUUGCUACGGUUGCCUCGACUUAUUAGAAUACAUCGCGUAUACAUGUUUUAUGAUUUAUUUGAAAGUUCUAUCAAGUAUCCUCAUGCCUUUAGAUUAGCUAAAAUGGCUGGGUAUCUGCUACUCACUGUCCAUAUCUAUGCCUGCAUUUAUUAUGUUGUUUCUGCCAGGGAAGGAUUUGGCACUAACUCUUGGGUUUAUGAUGGCCAAGGAAUAAGUUACAUUCGCUGCUUUUACUGGGCUUUAAUGUCUGUUGCAACCAUACAUGAUCUCAAUGAGCGAAGCCCUGGCAAUAACUUGGAGUUUGCUCUGGGAGCAUUUGGUCAUCUUGUUGGUGUUUUCAUCUUUGCAAUUGUCAUUAGCGAGAUCAAAAAUAUCGUAGAAGCUGCUAAUUUGCAAAAGUUACUCUACCGACAAAAGCAAGAUCAAAUGAAGCAGUUCAUGCAGUCGCAUAAGAUCCCUCCAGAAAUACAGAAAAAAGUGAAGGACUGGUCCGACUAUACAUUCACCCAUCAGAGAAUGCUCCAUGAGGAUAAGGCCCUUGAGUCAUUGCCCAAGAAGAUGAGGUCUGAUAUUGCCAUGAACGUUCACUUUAGCACUCUUAGUAAAGUCAAGAUUUUCAAACACCUGCGAUCGUCGAUCGAUAGACUUUAUACCAGGUGUCAUUAAGUAAAUGAAUACUCUAUGGCAUUGUGUAUCAAUUCAGGUUAAUGGUUUGGCAUGUCCAUGGACCUGUCUAUGCUUAUUGUUUGGAUAAGCCUUUGUUAUCAAAGGGGUUUUGAGAGAAAUUUGCUGAGAGAGCUUGUUCUCAAACUGCACCCGCUCCUUGUGAUGCCCAAAGAGUAUAUAUGUAAGAAGGU